rnacentral:tRNA from 1 species
AGCGCUGUGGCUCAGCGGGUUAACGCCCCAGUCUGAAGCACUGGCAUCCCAUAUGGGCACGGGUUCUAAUCCCGUCUGCUCCU